UGGCCAGUGAUGGCCAAACUUGGCCCUCCACCUAUUUUGGGACUACAACUCCCAUCAUCCCUAUCUAACAGGACCAGUGGUCAGGGAUGAUGGGAAUUGUAGUCCCAAAACAGCUGGAGGGCCAUGUUUGGCCAUCACUGCUCU
rnacentral:miRNA from 1 species